ACAACGGCUCUUUUCAGAGCCCAAAAGUAAUAGAAAAUAGUCU
rfam:Papilio machaon contig28505, whole genome shotgun sequence.